rnacentral:rRNA from 1 species
GUCCACGCCGUAAACGAUGGGUACUAGGUGUUGCGGGUAUUGACCCCUGCAGUGCCGACGCUAACGCAAUAAGUACCCCGCCUGGGAAGUACGGCCGCAAGGCUAAAACUCAAAGGAAUUGACGGGGGCCCGCACAAGCGGUGGAGUAUGUGGUUUAAUUCGACGCAACGCGAAGAACCUUACCCAGACUUGACAUUGAUGGAAUCCCUUAGAAAUAGGGGAGUACCCUUCGGGGACCUGAAAACAGGUGCUGCAUGGCUGUCGU